rnacentral:rRNA from 1 species
UACGUAGGGGGCAAGCGUUGUCCGGAAUCAUUGGGCGUAAAGCGCGUGUAGGCGGCUCGAUAAGUCCGUUCUGAAAGUCCAGGGCUCAACCCUGGGAUGCGGAUGGAUACUGUCGAGCUCGAGUCCGGAAGAGGCGAGUGGAAUUCCUGGUGUAGCGGUGAAAUGCGCAGAUAUCAGGAGGAACACCAAUGGCGAAGGCGGGUCUCUGGGCCGUAACUGACGCUGAGGAGCGAAAGCGUGGGGAGCGAACAGG